CACAGCCUGCAUGAAGCUGCAACAUGUUGUUUCACGCCACAUCAACUAUUCAUGUUAUCUUUUGCUUCUGUAUCCAACGCUGUAGAUAAAUCACUGAAGCCUUCUCUGUUCAACUCGUAGCAAGUCCAAGACAGAUAAAGCUUUUCCCACACAGACCUUCAACAACAGACCUUCACCAAGUAAAGCAGGCAUCCUGAGGAGAAUUCGAUUGUGUUAUGAAACACAUAGCAAACGGAGAAAAACAGGCUUUCCUAGUGAAGAAUUCAGAGUGGCUAAGUUAUGCACGGAAUUGGGAUU